rnacentral:rRNA from 1 species
AUUGAACGCUGGCGGCAGGCUUAACACAUGCAAGUCGAGCGAGCGGCGGACGGGUGAGUAAUGUCUGGGAAACUGCCUGAUGGAGGGGGAUAACUACUGGAAACGGUAGCUAAUACCGCAUACCAUCAGAUGUGCCCAGAUGGGAUUAGCUCGUAGGUGGGGUAAUGGCUCACCUAGGCACCGAUCCCUAGCUGGUAUGAGAGGAUGACCAUCCACACUGGAACGGAGACACGGCCCAGACUCCUACGUGAGGCAGCAGUGGGGAAUAUUGCACAAUGGGCGCAAGCCUGAUGCAGCCAUGCCGAGGGUGUGAAGAAGGCCGUCGGGUUGUAAAGCACUUUCAGCGAUGAGGCGUUACUCGCAGAAGAAGCACCGGCUAACUCCGUGCCAGCAGCCGCGGUAAUUC